GUCUACGGCCAUGCCCCCCUGAACGUGCCCUAUCUCGUCUGAUCUCGGAAGCUAAGCUGGUUAGUACUGGUUAGUACUUGGCUGGGAGAUGGGAAACCAGUUGUGGAACACC
rnacentral:rRNA from 1 species